CUGCCAUUCAGUCUCGGAAGAAGUCGAAUGUAUGAAACUGAGGAAGGAUCAUCUAACCAGCAGUGGUACCACAUACUGGGUUGGGCCUUUCUGCCUCCAUCAUCAACCAGUGCCUCACAGAACAGUGCCUCCCUCAGGCUAGUCUGCUAAAGAUAUCUUCUCAGUGAGCUCGGAGGCAGGCCCAGUGGUGGUUCUGUAAAUAUUUGUCCGAUGGAUUUGCCAUCUUCGACUCCAUUGUCUCCUACUAUGAAUACGCUUCUUCUUGGAAAGGCUGUUCUGAUGAGAAUACCCCCAUUCACAAGUGCUCUGGACAGUCUGAGUCAGGGCAUCUGAAGAUGGGACUGCAAGCAAAUCUAAGGUGUGGCUGUGCUACCAGCGCUACUUCUUACUCGCACAAGG